rnacentral:rRNA from 1 species
AGGGUUUGAUUAUGGCUCAGGAUGAACGCUAGCUACAGGCUUAACACAUGCAAGUCGCGGGGUAACAUCUGGUAGAGCUUGCUCUUCCAGGAUGACGACCGGCGCACGGGUGAGUAACGCGUAUCCAACCUGGCCCAUACCACGGGAUAGCCCGUCGAAAGGCGGAUUAAUACCGUAUGCUGUCAUUAAGAUGCAUAUAUUGAUGACGAAAGGACUGGCGGUAUGGGAUGGGGAUGCGUCUGAUUAGCUUGUUGGCGGGGUAACGGCCCACCAAGGCGACGAUCAGUAGGGGUUCUGAGAGGAAGGUCCCCCACAUUGGAACUGAGACACGGUCCAA